ACGGUGAAACCGCGAAUGGCUCAUUAAAUCAGCUAUGGUUCCUUAGAUCUUACUUCCAUACUUGGAUAACUGUAGUAAUUCUAGAGCUAAUACAUGCCAAAUAGUCCUGAAAUUAAUUUUUCAGGAUGGAUUUAUUAGAACAAAACCAACCGGUUUUUAACCGUUUGUUUGAUGACUCUGGAUAACUUUUCUGAUCGCACGGCCUUGUGUCAGCGACGUAUCUUUCAAGUGUCUGCCCUAUCAACUAUCGAUGGUAGGUGAUAUGCCUACCAUGGUUAUAACGGGUAACGGGGAAUCAGGGUUCGAUUCCGGAGAGGGAGCCUUAGAAAUGGCUACCACAUCUAAGGAAGGCAGCAGGCGCGCAAAUUACCCACUCUCGGCUAGAGGAGGUAGUGACGAAAAAUAACAAUACGGGACUCUUACGAGGCCCCGUAAUUGGAAUGAGAACAAUUUAAAUCGUUUAUCGAGUACCAAUUGGAGGGCAAGUCUGGUGCCAGCAGCCGCGGUAACUCCAGCUCCAAUAGCAUAUAU
rnacentral:rRNA from 1 species